AGGGGAGCACAGGAUCCUGGACUAUGUCCCCGGCACCCUGGGAUCCGGAGCCUGUGCUGCUGGAAUCGCGCUCCCAGGGCCACGCAGCCACCU
rnacentral:pre_miRNA from 1 species